UUUGAGAUGGGGUUUCAUGUAGCCCUGGCUAGCCUCAAAUUUGCCAGAUAAUACAGGCUGGUAUUAAACUCCUGAUCUGGCCUCACCCUCUCAAGUGCUGGGCUUACACAUGUACAGAACUCCUGGCCUUUUGGAAAAAACAGCCUGUUUUAAAAAUUUGAGACAAUGUCUUGUGCUAAGCCUGGCCUCGAACUUGUUCUGUAGCCUAACAGGCUUUGAAUUAAAAAUCCUCCUGGCCAGACUGGUGGCACCUUUAAUCCCAGCACUUCAGGAGGCAGAGGCAGACUGGUGUACAUGGUGAGUUCUAGAACAGCCAGGGCAAUAUAUUGAGACUGUAUCUCAAAAGAAAACAAACAACAACAAAGAAAGACAAACACAAAACUCCCCUGCCUCCACUUCCUGAGUUGAGGGCCACCAGGCCUGCUUUAGAAAACUUGCAGAUCAAGUUCUGGGCCCUCCUGCUGCCCCUCAUCCUCUCGGCAGGGUUUCACUGUACAGCUAUGGCUGUGAUCUGGCUUCCUCUGCCCUCCAAACGCUGGGGUUACAAAUGCACCCCACGCCCUGUCUGCUCAUCUGUUUCUACUUCAGGCUAUGCUGCAGUCUAGGUUGUAAGUAGUAGCAAUCUGGAGCCAUUUAUAAAAGUGUCACACAGAGUCACAGCAUAAAAAAAGGUCUCACUGCCAAAAAGCAGAUGGCCUUCACACGAAUUCAAGGCCACGAGAGUCAAUUAUAAACAGUUCCAACAGAAUCCCCAUGUAGAGAACACUGCCUGUGGAGAAAGCCAUCACGGUCACCUCAGACACACAAUGAUCCUGACUGUUGCUUGAUUUGAGCUGAGACGGCUUGGAAUAGACAUGAAUCUGGAAAGUGCUGCCAGGUAGUCUACGGAAUUUGGAGACAAGCUGUGGCCAAGAGCUGGACUCGGGAUCCCUGGACUGGGUGCAUCCUUGGCAGUGGUACAUCAAGCUGUGCUCACCAUCUUUCCGCCUGUUGCCCGCAUAUGGUGCUGCUCAGCCAGCCAGUGCUUGUCUUGAGGAUCUGCUGCAUACUGAGAGGGAUAAAGUUAGUGGAGAACAUGUUAGCUUAGUGGGAUGGGUUCUUCUCUUAGCCUGCUGACCAGAUUUUACCAAUGGACCUUGUCCUAGACAGGUGUGUAUAACCAAGGCCUCAUGAAUCUCUACAGUGCAGGCUCCCCAGGGAGCCCGGGGUUGUAUCCUUGCUGCCAGAGUUCAGGUGCAUGUUCACUCUCCCCAGACCCUCUUUCUUAAAAUAUAGGAUCCCUAGAAACACGUGAGUUAUUUUAGAGCCUAUUCAAAACUGACCACAGGUGCCUUCUAACACCUAUUAUUAUUAUGGGCUCAGUAUUUUCUUUAUUUUUGGUUUCUGAUGUAGCCCAAGGUAGGAUUGCCUCUGGAUCUCCCUCUCUCUGCUUCUGAGUACUGAGAUUAUAAGCAUGUGCUAUUACUGGCAGGACUCUAUUUUCUAAAACAAAAGUCAAGAAAUAGCACCCUGGUUCUAGAGUUCAACAUCAAGACAAAAAAGGCUAAACCUCCAGCACUUUGUAGACACACAAGUCUGGGUGGUAAUUUCCGCUAGACUCAGGUUUCUCAUUGGUAGAAUGGGGAGCACUGUCACCAGGCAUGGUGCUGCAUGCCUGUAAUCCUAGCACUUGGCAGGCAGAGGCAGGAGGCCUGAAGUGACUGAGAGCACAGCCUGGGCAGAAGAGACCCUGUGUUGAAGAACAAUCCUAUGGAUUCUAUUGUUAAAGACCACACGGAGCCACUAAAGUGUCCACUGGAGCAAGCCUGAUGUGCUGUAAGGACGGCUCACUCCUUCAGCACUGUGGAUGACGGACAGGAGAGCAGCUCAGAGGCUGCUGUGACAAAUCACAGUGUUAAGCAAUGAAGGGCGGAGGCUGUGGCAACAGUGAGGAAGAGAAAGGGAACAGGACUGCAGUGCACUCACAGGGUAAGGGCUUGACUGGAUGCAGAGGAGGGAAGGAAGGCCAUGGACAAGGAUGGCCAAGCGAAGAGAUAAGCAGGGUCUGAAAAGUGGGCCGAGGGAACAACUGAGCAGAAAACUGCUGCCUGGCACAUGUAAGGUCCUGUGUUCAGUCCCUGGCACAUUAUGAGGCCUUGUGUUCUGUCCCUGGUACAUACAUGAGGCCCCGUGUUCAGUCCCUGGUACAAUAAACAACACAUAAAGUGGAGGUCACUUUUUGUCACAGUGGUACACACCUGUGAGGCCCAGAACCAGUGAGGCUGAGAAGGAUCUUGAGUUCAAGGCUAGCCUAGGCUACAGUGAGAGCCCAUCUCAGAAUAAGAAAACAACAAAAACAAAUGGUUUUUGAAGAAAGAUCCUCAUUACAGUUUUGGAUCUGCUGUGUCUGAGAGCUGGUUUGGAGGUUCUGGCUGGGGGCACAGCACCUGUAUACCUCUAAUCAAAAAUGGCCGUGCUCUGCCAAGAAGGUCAUUCUCCUGGGAUGAGAUGAAGUUUUAGGAGGGGUGCACAUGGAGUGGUGAGGGUGGGAUAGGCCUAGCCUGACAGAUCACUGUAGUCAACUCCAGCACCACUGGGGUGGCUUAUGUUAUAGCCAGAUGGCCCUCAAAUCCUACGUAAGCUGUGUGUGACAUGCCUGUGCAACUUCAGGCAGUCAGUCAGGACUAGCAAACAGGAAGAUGUUACAAGGUUGAAAUCUGAAGGUGUGAGAAGGACAAAGAAACCUGGGGAGUGUCAGACCUGGUCCUGACACUGUAAGCGUGGAUAAGAUCCCUGUGCCCAAGGUGGUCAAGAGACACCAGAGGUCUUACAAAGGAUGAGUUUAAAUCCUAGCAUUCAUAUCAGGUAGCUCACAAACACCUAUAAUUCCAGCUUUAAGGGAAUGUAAUGUUCUCUUCUGAUCUUCAUAAGCACACACACACACACACACACA